AUUGAACGCUGGCGGCAGGCCUAACACAUGCAAGUCGAACGGUAACAGGAAGAAGCUUGCUUCUUUGCUGACGAGUGGCGGACGGGUGAGUAAUGUCUGGGAAACUGCCUGAUGGAGGGGGAUAACUACUGGAAACGGUAGCUAAUACCGCAUAACGUCGCAAGACCAAAGAGGGGGACCUUCGGGCCUCUUGCCAUCGGAUGUGCCCAGAUGGGAUUAGCUUGUUGGUGGGGUAACGGCUCACCAAGGCGACGAUCCCUAGCUGGUCUGAGAGGAUGACCAGCCACACUGGAACUGAGACACGGCCCAGACUCCUACGGGAGGCAGCAGUGGGGAAUAUUGCACAAUGGGCGCAAGCCUGAUGCAGCCAUGCCGCGUGUAUGAAGAAGGCCUUCGGGUUGUAAAGUACUUUCAGCGGGGAGGAAGGGAGUAAAGUUAAUACCUUUGCUCAUUGACGUUACCCGCAGAAGAAGCACCGGCUAACUCCGUGCCAGCAGCCGCGGUAAUACGGAGGGUGCAAGCGUUAAUCGGAAUUACUGGGCGUAAAGCGCACGCAGGCGGUUUGUUAAGUCAGAUGUGAAAUCCCCGGGCUCAACCUGGGAACUGCAUCUGAUACUGGCAAGCUUGAGUCUCGUAGAGGGGGGUAGAAUUCCAGGUGUAGCGGUGAAAUGCGUAGAGAUCUGGAGGAAUACCGGUGGCGAAGGCGGCCCCCUGGACGAAGACUGACGCU
rnacentral:rRNA from 1 species